CCCUUAGAUGUCCUGGGCCGCACGCGCGCUACACUGACAUGUUCAACAAGCCUCCUAGUUCGACAGGAUUUGGGAAAUCUUUGAACGCAUGUCGUGAUAGGGAUAGAUCAUUGCAAUUAUUGAUCUUGAACGAGGAAUUCCUAGUAAACGCGAGUCAUCAGCUCGCAUUGAUUACGUCCCUGCCCUUUGUACACACCGCCCGUCGCACCUACGAUUGAAUGUUUCGGUGAAGAUUCCGGAUAGGACUUUUUUGAUUUAUUUCAAUUUUGUCUUAAAAGCUAUCUAAACCUCAACAUUUAGAGGAAGGUGAAGUCGUAACA
rnacentral:rRNA from 1 species